ensembl:antisense St8sia3os ST8 alpha-N-acetyl-neuraminide alpha-2,8-sialyltransferase 3, opposite strand
GGUCAGCAUCCCUUUGGUGCUGUGCAGAGACGUCUAGCCAUGGAACAACUGUUUGGUGCAGAGUAGACUUGGAGUCAUGGAGCUUUUGCAGGUCCAUGGAACUAGGAGGCAUCUAAGGGAGACAAGCGUGUGCUUCAAUCAAACUUGUGAUGAGAGAAGAGUCACAACUCUUGGAGAUUAAGAGAAUUUGGAAAGUGAAAGAAAUCCAAAUAGGUACUCACUGGGCCCUCAGUGUAUCAGAUUCUGGUGAAGACCUGGCAGCCGUGGAUCUUAGAGAUGACAGGACACAAAGAGGGAAGUCCACAGUUCAAAGGACUCAGGCUUUCAAAGGUGGCAGCAAAGAUCUGUUGAAACCUUAAUCCUCAGCAUUCCAGAACACAGCUUCCUCGACGGCCAUCCCAUCUGUAAUUAGUUUGGAUGAAGUCUUCCUGGGAUAGGAUGGUCUGUGGUGUGAUGCCCCAAAGCAUGUCACCCAAAAGAAACCACAGAUUGCAUAUUCUGAAGACCCAGAGACAGAGUUCAGGGUGUGAUGAGGUAGAGAAUUCUCCAAGGGAAAGAAUUGUUCAUUAUAACAGGUAGCUGGAAUAUAGUGGACACUCAACAAACACUUGCUUCAUAUUACUUAAUAAUGAAUGAACACCAAGUGUAUUCUGUUGGCUAA